GCCAACGAACAAUAAGUUAAAAAGAAUUAGAUUGAAUAUAUAUAAAAAAUAAAUUUAUAAAAUCUUAUUCAUUAGACUUUGAUCUAAUAGUUAAAACUUUACAUAUAAAUGUGUCUUUUUGUAAUUUAGCUCGCAUUUAUAUUUUUAUUUUGCUAAAAAUUAAAUAAUAAAAAUAUAUAUUAUAUAUAAUUAUUUAUUUAUAUAUAAAAAUAUAAAUUAAAUAAAUUAUAUAAAUAUAAAAUAUAUGUAUUCGAGCUGUAAUCGAGCCGAACACGAGCGAGCUAACCCCAGCUUGUGUUCGGCUCGUUUAUUAAACGAGCUGAAAAAUUCGGCUCGUUUACUAAACGAGCGAUUCGAUCUCGAGCUCAUUUCGAGUCGAACGCGAGCUGGCUUGCAAACAGUGAGCUGGAUUGCCACCCCUAGUUAUAUAUCUCAUGGUCUUGGUAUUUAAAAUCAUUUAUUUGGCUUUAACCUUUUCAAUUUUUCAGGUUUUCGUGCAAUUGGUUGUGGAUUCUUAAUAUCUCUUGGCGCUGCAAUCCUCCUAAAUCUUCUCUUGAGUUUUCCCACCCAACAAGUAAGAUUCAUGUUGGACAUAUAAUAUUAUUGAUAGUUUUUACAACUAUCUAUUUUUGAUCCUUGAAUGUUUAGGGUUUCUGUUACGGUAGUGGUAUUCUUAUGGAUCCAAGGACUAGAAAAUUGACAGUGUUCGUUAAAGGACUAGUGCUCUGCCUCACGGCGGGAGGUAGGAUUGGGCCAAAUAACGUUCGAAAUAGUGGGAAGCUAUGUCGGGUUAGGUCACAUUUGAAAUGGCCGAAGACUGGCUAGGUUGAGUCACGAUCGAUACCUGUAAAUGUUGUUUCUAUAUAUUUUGAAGGUUAAAUUACAGAAAACCCUCCUAUCAAAAUUCGACUUUUCACUUUCCUUUCCUAUCAUUUAAAAACCUACACUUUGCCCCCCUAAAAAAUAAAAAAUAUUCACUUUGAACCCCGUCGUUAGUGUUCUGUCUAUAUCCCAUUAUUAUAUAUUUAUUUAUACCGAAAAUGCCCUUCUACAGAUAAAGGAGGGUUGGAGGAGGAGAGGAAGAGGGAGAGGGCAUUUUGGUCAUUUUCUCAAUACUAUUAACACUGUACUCUCCUGUGAAUAUUUUUUAUUUUUUAGGAGGGCAAAGUGUAGGUUUGUAAAUGACAUGGAGGGAAAGUGAAAAAUCAGAUUUUGAUAGAAAAAUUUUCUGUAAUUUAGUCUAUUUUAAAUGAAUUAUUUGUGCCUUUCUAAUAGCUUGACAUUUCGGAAUUAAUAGGUUAUGUUAACAAUCCUACAAAUUGUAACAAGUGCUUUGCUUGUACCAAUAAUAUUUUAGCUCAACUUUAUAUAUAUACAGUACUAAUAAUUUGUUGAAUCUAAACCAUGGGAUCAAAAUAUUUAAAUACGGUCGUUAAUAUUAGCGUAUGUGACUCACACUCUUCCACAUUAUUUUGGACUAUUGAGAUAUCACCGAUUCCUCCAUUUAGACCUUAACGUUCUCGUCACGCCUAAUUCCGUACGAUGUCCACUCUCACUCCUAAUUGAAUCCCAUCACAUUUCUUUCAACUGGUUAUCUGGCUUUGAUACUAAAUGCAAUGUCUCAAAUUAUUGAUAUCAAUAACUCGUUAGGUCUAAACUAUCAGUUCUAAAUGCUUGAGCCCAAUAUUUUUUUUUUAAUACUCUUAAAUGCAAAAGUGUAAGAUAUAUACCUACAUACGAAAUGUAUAGGUAUCUUUUUUUAAAAAAAAAAAAUUUGUGCAUCAGCAAAAUGCAAAAAAAAAAAAAAAAAAAAAAAAAAAAAAAAAAAAAAAAAAUCAGGAAAGAAACACCUAAGAUGUGAAUCAUACAAAAAGCUUUGCAUUUAUAGAAUUGUAAUCAAUUCAGAGCAUAGCUAGAAAAAUAUGUUUCUUCAAUUUCAUGUGCCUUAAACAACCAAACAAGAUGUUUGUAAGUAAACAAAAGUGAUAUUUUUGGUUUCUUAUCUUGUUCCAUUUUUAUUCAUAUAUUGAGAUAAUCUAGCAAUUAUUCAUUUUUUAUUAUUAUUUGAUUUAAUUGUUGUUUUAAUGUAGGGAUGGAUACCUUCUCCUCUCUUUCCCAUUUACAUAAGAAACAUUCACAAAGCAAAGCAUGGAAGUGAUCUGAGACCUACGACACAGAAGGAAGGUCUGUAUUGCAGUAGUACUCCAAUUUAAAAAAAAAACUAAAUUACAUAAAACUUUACUGUCAAAACUCGAUUUUUCACUUUUCCCCCCUGUCAUUUAAAAACCUACACUUUGCCCCCUUAUAAAAUAAAAAAUGUUUACUUCACCCUCUACCGUUAGUGAUCCGUUAGGAUUCCCGUUUAUAAAAUAUUAUUAUAUAUUUUUUUAUGCCAAAAAUAUCCUCAGCCUUCUCUCCUAUUGCCAAAAAUGGUAAGAGGCAAAAUGGUCAUUUUGUCAUUACAGUUUAUACCGUACCCUCAAACAAAGUGUAGGUAUUUAAAUGACAGGGGAGAAAAGUGAAAAAUCGGGUUUUGACAGGAGAUUUUAUGUAAUUUAGUCUAAAAAAAAUAAAAGAGAUAAUAUCUAAUAUGCUCAUCAAAAUUUUCAAAAUAUCUAAUAUAUCCAUUAUUGACUAGAAUGCCCUUAUUAAUUUCUGAAUUUUUUUUUUCAAAUAUCUCCUAAACCUUUAUUAGGGUUUACUGGUGGAAAUUGGGAUUUAAAAGAGUAUUUUGAAUAUAGAGAGGUAAAUUUGAAAACUUUGAAUAGUUGUGAAGGGUAUAUAAGCAAAGCGACUCUGAGACCUAUGACACAGAAGGAAGGUUUGUUUUGCGGUAGUACUCCUAUGAUUUUUUUUUUAAAAAAACUAUCUUUGAUUUAUGUCAUGCAGAUUCGACCCAUCGAAGUUCGACGCCAUUUUCAGUAAAUAUGCAAUAACUCAUGCAAAUGCUUUAACCGCAAACGAGGUAUCCACAAUGCUGAAAGCCAAUCGCAACGCCUUGGAUUUCAUUGGACGGUGAGCACCAGCUGAAUCAUAUUAACAAACAAAUUGAAAGGUUGGAUAGUAAAAUCAAAAUUUUGAAAAGUUGAGUUGCCGAUUCAAAUUAGCUUAUAGUCCAGAUAAGUUCUAUAUGUAUUUAUCUAAAAAAAACUUGCUAUUAGAAUUAAUGAUAAUUUAGUACAUAAGCAAAGUUGAGCUGCCGAUUCAAACUAGCUUAUAGUUCAGAUAAGUUCGGUACGUUUCUUCGAUCUUUACAUAAAUCCAAUAAAUUUGACUUAAAUUAAUAUACUACUUAACUCUUUCAUUGCCAAAAUCAUAUGCAGGGUUAUCAAUUUCGCAGAAUGGGAGCUUCUUUACUCAUUGGGGAAAGAUGAGAAAGGUUUGUUACACCGCGAAACUGUCAGAAGCGUCUUCGAUGGCAGUUUAUUUGUGCAGCUUGAACUGAAGAACAAGAAGAAGAUGAUGAAAUCGAACUAAAUGAUGUACACAUUAAUAGCGGAUGAUAUUGAUAUAUAUAUAAUAAUAAUAUGGGAAAAAAGUGUGAUUGUCAAAAUUAAAAGUUUAAUAAGCGCAUAUUUGUUAAAAUAAUAAUAAUAAUAAUAAUAAUAAUUAAAGUUUAGAAGUUUCAAUACAUUUUACCCUCAUAAUAAUUAAUAAAUAAUACGCAAAAGAGAGUGUAAAAUAAUGAAACCAUUCGCUAUGAUCUCUUAUAUAUAUGUGUUGUUUAAUUUUCUUUGUUAAAUGUGAGAGAUGUGAUAUCAUUCAAUAAGGAUGAGAAAUAUUUUCCAUCACAUUGUUUAAUAUAUAAGCUCUCUUUAAAUUAAAUUAGCGAGCGUUUCGUNAUAUGUGUUGUUUAAUUUUCUUUGUUAAAUGUGAGAGAUGUGAUAUCAUUCAAUAAGGAUGAGAAAUAUUUUCCAUCACAUUGUUUAAUAUAUAAGCUCUCUUUAAAUUAAAUUAGAGAGCGUUUCGUACCUCAGUAAAGUGUGAAAAUUACUUUCUGAAAAAAAUAAAAAAUAAAUUUUUUCAUAAUUAAAAGAGUAAAUUUUUUUUUUUUUUCAUAAAAUUUGGAGAAAAAGACUUUCGGAAAAACUAAUUUUUCUAAACCAAUUUUUAUAUUACCAUUAGUAAAACUACAUUACCAUUUAUAAAUCUAUAAUCUUGGACAAAAUUUAGCGACUUUAUCAAGAAAACAUCUAAUUAAAUGAUACAAAAAAUAUAAAAUGAAAUCUUUCAUUAAAAAUAUUUAUUAAAUUAUUUUCAACUGUUAUUUUUUUUAAUUUACAUAUUUUAUUUUUUUUGCCUCAAAAUAAGCUGAAUAUAUGCUUUCAUUUGCUUUCUUUUAAUAAUUUUUAUUUAAUAUUAUAGAUUUAUUACUUAUAACAUAGCAUUUGAAAAAAAAAAUUAUAGCUGAAUAGUGUGUUUGAAAAAAAUAUAUAGUCUAGAAAAUGAAAAAAUUAUAAAUUAUAUUGUAGUAUAAUGUAAUUUAGGGUAAUGAAAAUAAAUAUUUACAGUCGGAAAUAUACCACCGCUUUCAGUUAAGGUGGCUCAACUCGUGUUCGGCUCGAUAUUUGGCUCGCUCGAGCUCGGCUCGAAUUAAUUUCAAACAAGCUUGAGUCUAAAUUUAGGCUCGAAAUUAAUUUCAAGCCGAGCUUGAGUAUUACUUGGCUCGCUCGAAUUAAGCUCGAAAAUCUCGAUAUAUAUAUAUAUAUAUAUAUAUAUAUAUAUAUANUAUAUAUAUAUAUAUAUAUAUAUAUAUAUAUAUAUAUAUAUAUAUAUAUAUAUAUAUAUAUAUAAAAUUGAGCUAGAAUACGUUUAGAAGCACGAAUCCCUUGGUGCUUCUAGGUUUCUAGUUCUUGGAUCUAUUCCUUAAUUACUAAUAACCCUUGGAUCAAAUAUUAUUCUACCUACUACCACCUACCACCAUCAUCCCAACCCUAUAUCUCUCCAUCCAAGGGCUAAAAACUCAAAAGCACCACCCUCUUGGUACUUUUGAGAGUAUUCUAGCUCAACUCUCUCUCUCUCUCUCUCUCUCUCUCUCUCUCUCUCUAUAUAUAUAUAUAUAUAUAUAUAUAUAUAUAGUCUGCUAUAUUAUUAAUAGUACCAACACUCGCUAUUAGGUUUUCGGCCUUUGGAUGAAGGAAUGUAUAGUUAGAAUGAUAGUGAUCUCCUAGCGUUGAGUGGGCGGUUAGUUGAAUAAUAUGAUCUAAUGGCACAAAAUUCGAUAAUAUAGUAUCCGGACUCUCUCUCUCUCUCUCUCUCUCUAUAUAUAUAUAUAUAUAGUCCGGCUACUAUACUAUCUAUAGUACUAAGCGCUUUGUAGUAUUGAGUUUUUUGCCGUUAGAUCUGCCUAUAUAUAUAUAUAUAGAGUCUGGCUAUUAUACUAUCGAUAGUACCAAAUAUUUGGCGUUAGCUAUCAAGUUUCUGCUGUUAGAUCUAUCCCUUUGGUCAUUUUUUUAUCCAUUAGAUCAUAAUAUUCAACUAGCCACCCACUCAACCCUAGAGGGCUACAAAUAUUUGGUCGCAACAAUGCAAAACUUCAGCCAAUAAGUUUCAUCAGAUGACAAUUGGUUGGAUACAGUGGAGCAGAAUACAUAAAUUGAAUGCAUUGUCUAAUAAAUUGUUAGUUUAGGUAGCUGGAGACAAAAUGCGACCUCACUUUUUAGUGUUUUAAUUCUAUUACUUUGAUUUUCAUUUCAAAAUUUCAUCCUUAUAGUUUUGAUUGUAACACUUUAGUCCCUGAAAUCUCUGUGUUGAUUACACCCUCGGAGAAAAAAAAUCUGCAAUGUCGAGCAUGCAUUAGAAGUUGCAUUUUGAAUGAUUAUUGAUUCUGGAUACAAAGUUUCACGGGAAUGACUUGGUGGAUGUCUUUGGUUAUAUUUAAUAGAGUAAAAUUUCAUAAAUUGAAUAAAUUGUCUAAUACACUGUUAAUUUGGGUAGCAUUUAGUUUAAAAAAAAAAAAUCUCACUUUUUUUUUUUUAUUAAAUAUAUUACUUUGACCUACAUUUCAAAAUUUCGUCCUCAUAGUUUCAAUGGUGACAAGUUAUUCCCCGAAAUUUUACCUAAGUCCUUUUGUUAAUCUAAUUAAUUACAAAAUACAAAGUGGCGCCAAUCAACACCAUACAUUAACAUUCUAUUGCAAAAUUGAAAAUCUGGGAUGAAAUAGGAAUUUUGGUCAAACUUGAAGAAGAAAUUUUCAGCAUUGAAACUUUGAGGGCUGAUCGUAAAUCAGAUCAAACUACAGGGGAAUUAAAUCUGGGUCAAAUUUCAGGUGUAAUUGUGUAAAUUUGUAAACAGCCCAAAUAUUUAACCAUCUUCUAUAUCUUUGCGUGAUUAAGUAGUAGUGUAACAAAAUCUUGUUUCAUUAUGCUCGCUAGCUUCUUUAUUUAGUAAUAAAAUGCAAAUAUCUCCAUUUGAUUCUCCAUGCAUGUUGUAAAAAUGAUCUCAAUUUAUUGUCUAUAAAUUGAGCUGAACUAUGUGUUAGCAUCUUGCAUGUUCUUUUUCAAGCUGCAGUAUCAUCCUGACAUGAACAAGAGCCCAGGUGCGGAAGAAAAGUUCAAGGAGAUCGAUUAGUACUGCUGCAUACGAGGUAUUAUUACCCCUACACAAGCUCUAUCUGUAUCAUACAUGUAUACUUUUGCUUUUAUAUUUAAGUUUGGAUCCUGUACUGGUGCGGUUGUAAUGAUGGUUGUUUCCCAACCUGCAUUUCUGUGUGAUUACUGUAAUCUUUACAUAUUAUGCUUAAGUAAUAUAUAUAUUGUUUCCUGGAAAUGGAGUACGUCUUUCCCAUGCAUGUGCCAUGUGGUGUUGUAACAAAUCAUUCUGUAAGGUGCUAUCAGAUGACGAGAAAAUGGAGGACCAAAUGUUGGCCCGCAAGGGGUAAAAGUGUUUUCUGCAUUUCUUUAUAUCAAAUGUUACUAUCCUUUUUUCUUUAAUUUUGUCUAUGUUCUCUUCAUUUCCAUGAGAUUUCUGAAAGGUUGUUCAUUUGUUGGGGCUGCAACUUGGAUUUCGUUUAAUCUGUCAACUCAACCUGAUCAGUAGGUCAGAUUGGGCUAUGCAAUUUUGAAAUCUGUUGUGGUGUAGACCAACCGUCCCUAAAGCAAGUGGCAAAGGGCUUGGUGGUUGGUACCCGAGACCCAAGUUCGAAUCCUAGUUGAUUCACAUUUCUGGCUAAGUUUAUUUCUAAAUGAAAUAAACGAAGCGGAUAGCGUGCUACCUAUCUCUCAAAAAAAAAAACUUAUUUAAGUGCUGUCGUACGGGAUCGUGCCGAAAACUUAUCGACAUGGCACGACAUGUGUCGGGCCGUACCGAUGAGUGCCAGUCACAAAAAAUACAUGUAUGCUGAUACGUAAUGGCAUCACGUAUUUAUUUUCUUCAGCAACAAGAUUUUCUAAUUGUUUAUUAUGUAUUUUUUUCAAAUCUUUUGAAUUUAAUUGAGAAAUUACUAAGUAAUUUUUAAAAAAAGAGAGUUUAAAGGGUGAUGAUGGAAAUUUUGUAAUCAAGAUCAAGAGUGUAGAUCUUAUUCUAAAUAGUUUAAAGAAUUUUCUAACCAAAAUUCAAUUGAUUUGGAUAGCUUUACACCGUUAAACGAGAAAACGUCUCAUAUUUAUCAUUAAAAUUACAAAUUUUGAAACCCUUUGAUUAUUAGGUCAAUGAUAUCGAAAUGAUUUGAAAUUUUAUUUCUAGAUACUUCAAGUGGUAUAGAUCACGUUUAACGGUGCCGAUCGUCAAUUUAAAGGCUCCAUCAUCGAAAACAAAUGGGUGGCAACAGAGCCGGUUUGCUACCGAUAGCAUUAUAGCUCAACUUUAUAUCUAUAUAUAUAUAUAUAUAUAUAUAUAUAUAUAGUUUAGCUAGAAUACUAUCGGUAGCAAACGGGCUCCGUUGCCACUCAUUUGUUUUCGAUAUUGGAGCCUCCAAAUUGACUAUCGGCAUCGUUGAACAUGAUUUAUACCACUUGAAAUAUCUAAAAACUAAAUUUCAUAGUUUUUCGAUAUUAUUCUCUUGUCCAUCAAGUGGACACAAAAUGAGCGGCUACAAUACUGAUAGGAAUAUUGUAAUCAAAAUCGAGAGUAUAGAUCUCAUUCUAAAUAAUUUAAAAAUUUUCUAACAAAAAUUUAAUCGAUUUGGAUAUCUUUAUACCGUUAAACGAAAAAGCGUCUCAUAUCGACUAUUAAAAUUACAAAUUUUGAAACCCUUUGAUCAUUAGGUUAAUUAAUGCUGUCGAAAAGAUUUGAAAUUUAAUUUCUAGAUAUUUUAAAUGGUAUAAAUCAUGUUUAACAAUUCCGAUCGUCGAUUUGGAUUCUCUAUCAUCGAAAACAAAUGGAUGGCAACGGAAUUCGUUUAUUAUCGAUAGCAUUCCAGCUCAACUCUAUAUAUAUAUAUAUAUAUAUAUAUAUAAAAUAAGUAAAAAGAUCAUUUUAUCCGUUAAUUUUGUCAACAGGAAGAUAUAUUUAUAGAUGAAAUGAUUAUUGGAGAAAUAAAUUUUAUAACUUUAAGUUAUGCAAAAAUAUAUUUUUUAUUUGAUAUUUUUGUAAGAAUCCAUGUGCAAUUAUCCCUAAUGGAUUUGUGCCUCGCGCAAUUAUUUGACUUUUUCCUACAACAAAGCAUUUACGGCGAAAAUCGCCACGUGGCGAAAAACGAAUGGCUGUAGGUGUACGACGGGGCCGCAUGCGUGCACGCAUUUGAUCCAACCUGUAGUCAACGGUACACGUGUCGUACACCCGAACUGCCACGCAACUGCUCGGAAUGAUCCCCCACACGCCGCUACAAUUCUAUUUAAAACAAUUUUUAGUACUACGCUAACGUGUCAAAAACAUCAAAAAUUAAAGCAUUUGAAGCACCACGGGUAGGGAUGUGAAUGGAUACAAAUAUUUAAAAUUUUAUUCGAAUUCAAAUUCAAACAUAACAGAUUUAUUCGAUGCUAAAUAUAUAUAAUUUUCAAUAUGAAUGUCAAAAAAAAAAAAAUCGUCGGAUAUAGAAGAAUUCGGAUAUAGAUUUUGACUGUAUCAGAUCUAAACCCGAAUUUAUUUUACAUUAUAUAUAAUAUAAAUAUAUACAUUUGAUGCAAUUUGAAUUUGUAUUUUAAAAAUUGAGAUUUAUUGUAAUAUAUUUUGAAAUAUUAAAAAGAGAAAUACUUAUUUCGGAUUCGGAUUCAGGUUUCAGGUUCGGGUUAUUAAAAAAAUCUGCCUGGAAUCAGGCAUCGUUUUUUUUCUUCAAGUUGUCUGGAUUUGCUAAAAAUUCGUUCCUGCUCUAAUUCACUCCGUUCAAUAAAAAUUAGUCUCGCUCAAAUCCGCCCUCUCCCGCCCAGGAUAUGUUAGCUAUUAAUUAUUGAGCUAAAAUAGCUCAAACUUUCUGCCCUAUAACAAUAGGUUUAGAGACUAAUAAGUUGAGCUGAAUAAGUCUAAUAAGUUGAGUGAAAGAGUGGUCCACAAGAGACCUAACGAUAAGAGACCCAACAAUAAAUCCAACGUCCAGAUGGAUUGAGUCAGAUCGAAAAUCGCAAGCGCUGUGGUUGAGCUCUUAAGUGCGAUUGAUAUGUCAUUCCUAUUAGUAUAGCUGGUUGGCGUUUACGAUCCACAAGAUCUGCUGCCUCGUUUGCAUCACUAUCAGCGAUACCAUGGGUGGCCACCCGCACGCAAACCAUGACUCUCUCUCUCUCUCUAUAUAUAGAGAGAGAGACUCUCUCUCUAUAUAUAGAGAGAGAGAGACUCUCUCUCUAUAUAGAGAGAGAGAGAGAGAGAGAGAGAGAGAGAGAGUUGUGAAGUGCUUUCUAAUUCACUUCUAAUUCACGUAGAUUGAAUCUUAUUAUAAUUUGAGAGAUAGAGGAAGAAAGGAGGAGGAAUGGACUGCAGGAGCGAUGCAUCUUUGGCGACAGAAGCCGCCGGCGCUCCGGUGACGAAGGAACGAAAGCUCAACCUCGACCUCCAGCAGGAGCUCCCUAAACCAUGUAUGUAAAUUCGGCCCCUCCUAUCUUUCUGUCUCUUCUUCUCUCUAUAUCUCGAUCUCGAUCUCAAUCUCGAUCUCUAUCUCGAGAAGUUACUACCGGUGCUUAGGGCUGGCAAUCCAGCUUGCUGUUCGCGAGUCGGCUUUUGUUUGGCUCGAAGUGAGUUCGAGAUCGAUCGCUCAUUUAAUAAAUAAGUCGAAAACGAGUUGAAUUUUUUUUCUCUCGAAAUCGUAGUGAGCCAGACACGAGGCUCGAUAUAGCUCAAAUACUAUAUAUAUUAUAAACUUUUAACUCUUUGAAUUUUGAGCUAUUCCAAAUGUAAAGAAACUCAUAUUUUAUGAAUUUCAAUUAUUAGGGUAAAAUUCUGAUUUUUUUAAAAUAUUUUUUUUUCUAACUUUACACUCAGUACGUAGUAGUGUAAAAUUACAAUACUAUAUAUAUCGACCGUUCUUAGCGCAAGCGGCAAAGGGCAGGAAGGAAGCUAGGAUUCAAUCUCGUGGGGGGCCAAAAUAUAUUCAAGUAGAAGCUUUAGUAAUAAAUAAUACACAAGAUUUUCCCUAAUUGAAAAAUUUUUACAAAAACAUUAUUAAUUAAAUAAAUAAUGUAAAAGCAUGAACUUUAUUUUUUUAUUAUAUUAUUACAUUAAAAUAACAUAGAAAAUUUACUAAAUCUAACAGUAAUUUUUUAAUUUUUUAGUAAAUAAAAUUAACAUAGCUAUUAAAUUUGGUGCAAUCCUUGAUUUAGUCAAAUAAAAGUUUAAAAAAUUAUUAAAUAAAAUUUUUAGAGUAGAGAAAUACAUUACAAAAUACUCUACAAGCAAGAGGGUCUUAAUAUAUUUUCACCCAUAAAAAAAAGUAUACCGAUUAGAGGAAGAGAGAGAGAGAGAGAGACAGUUAUAUUGGCACCAUACUAUUAAGUGAAUAUUAAAAAUUAGGGGUGCCAAAGCUACCCAUGCCCACAAAAAAAAAAAAGAACACUGAAGGACCAUUAAGCAAAUAUUGAGAAGUUGAGGGGGGCCAUGGCCAUCUUGGGCCUCCACAUAGCUCCGUCCCUGGCGAAGUGAUUGGUUGUUGGUACCCGAUGUCUCAAGUUCAAAUUCUAAUUGAUUCACAUUUCCAGUUAAGUUUAUUUCUAAAUAAAAUAAAUGAAGCGGGCAACAUGUUAACUAUCUUUCAAAAAAAAAAUAAAACUAUCUUCUAUACAUAUUAUAUAUUAUUUCUCAUGAAGUUUGCCACGUGGCAAUUCCUCUUUUAUCCCCCCCUUCUCACUCUCUGAUGCUGCGCAUUUCCACUUCAUCUCUACCCGAUGCUUUGUCUUCCCAUCUGCUCACUUUCUAAUUAAUAUAUUCACAUGAUCCAUUUUUAUCUAAACAAAUCAUUUUUUUUAAAAAAAUAUCUAUUUGCUGUUGUAAUUUUUAUUAUUGAUAUAUAUAAUUUAUUUGCUGUUGUAAUUUUUACUACAUUUGUAUAUAUAUCUAUUUUAUAUUUUCUAUUUGUAUCUAUUUAUGUUUCAUUACAAGUCAAAAAAUUUUAAAAUUUUAAUUUUGUCAAUCUUUUAUCUUUUAUAGCAUUAGCCCAUCGCAAUGUAGGGAUAACAUCACUAUAUAUAUAUAUAUAUAGAGAGAGAGAGAGAGAGAAAGAGAGAGAGAGAGAGAGAGAGAGAGAGAGAGCUAGGCUACUAUACUAUAUAUCUAUAGUACCGUGCUCCGGUACUAUAGUGUUGGUUUUCGAUCUUAAGACAUUCAAAUCAAUGAUCCACACCGAUAAAACUGAUUUAGGGUAUUUAAAGUUUCUAGAAAUAAAAUUUUAUAUUUUUUCGACAUAGUUUACUUUAUGAUCAAACUAUUUCAAAAUUAUCAAUUUUCAAUGGCUAUUAUGACAAGUUUGGAGUUUAACGGUGUAGAAGAAUCUAAAUUUCUUCAAAUUUUGAUAGAAAAUACUUUAAACUAUAUAGAUUAAGGUUAACAUUUUUUAUCUUGAAUUUAAAAGUCCUAUACUCAAAUUUUAAAGAUUAUUCAAUUUUCACCGUCCAUUUUGAUAUAAUUUAUUUACUAAGUAAACGAUAUCGAAAAAAACCAAAAUUUUAUUUCUAAGACAUUCAUAUACCCUAGAUCAUAUUUAACGGUGUGGAUCGUUGAUUUGAACGCCCUAAGAUCGAAAACAAACACUAUAGUACCGGAGCUCUAUACUAUAGAUAGUAUAGCAGUCUAAUUCUAUACACACACACACUUUUGGAAGAUACAUACCAAACCUGGGCACUCAAAACCCUUAUCUUGAUCGAUCAUCGAUCCCAAUUAUUUAUCCGAAGUACUCAUUUGACAUGGUGCUACAGUAGGAGUACUGUACCAUCACGACCUUUUGGAGUUAGGUAAACCCUAAUAUGUUCAAAAUGUGAUCCACUGCUUCUGCAAAGUACAAUGAAUUCAAAGUACGUAGUGAUGUGUUUGCGUAGCUACUUGCCUGAUCUAUUAAUAAUAAUAAUAAAAAAGGUACACAAACAANCCUUUAGUUUUUAAGUCAUUUAAUUAUUUACUCCCAAAUAAUAAGAAAAAUAAGAGAACUUCAAUUUUACAACUAUACAAAGAAGCAUUAACGAAAAAAUACUUUUAUCUGAAUUCUAGCUCACCUAAAAGCCUACUUCCAUUUAAAAUUUCACCUUCGGAGAAACAAAUAUAUCCUAAACCGAAUAACCAAACAUAACCGACUCAUCCUCGUCGGUUCGGUUCGAUUUUAUAUAUUCCUUUGGUUUGGACCGGUUUAUAAGGGUGAAAAUAGAAAAACCCAAAUUUAACCCUAUCUACAGCUACUUGUGGAGACUAACAACAGCUUUCCAAAUUGUACUAUACUUUUAUAGCGCAUGUUUGUUUCAUCGGAAGUGAAAGGAUGUGCAGUUAUUUUCGAUCGUAAAAAUUAACUUUUGUUGUUUAAUUUGUCAUAAAUUAAAUUUGUCCAUAACACCACAUUUUUAAAAUAUCAUAAUUGAUUUCACCUACUUUGAUGCCAAAGUCAACAACAAGAGAGAAAGCAUGUAAGAAAAAUCAAAAGAAAAGGAACUGCUAUAAUUAUUUUCAAUCAUAAAUACCGACUAUUGUUGUAAAAAUUGUCUUAAAUAAAAUAAAUAAAAAAUAGUGGGAUAAUUAUAAUUCUAAUGCCAUUAACUUUCUAUCAAGUAAAUAAUGGAGAUUAUUUUUUUCUCAUGACAAAAUCACUUACGGCUGAAUAAGCCCUUAAUUUCCAAGUGAAAAUUAAUAAAAUAGUAACUACACAUUUUAUUUUUAUUUUUAUUUUUUUUCGACGGUGCAGAUCUAGCGCGGGCACUGGUGGCAGUUGAUCCGAGCCAUCCAAAUGGAACAGAAGGGUGGGACAACCGUAACAUGAGCGUGCUCCAGCAACACGUAGCAUUUUUCGAUCGAAAUGGGGAUGGAAAAGUGUAUCCAUGGGAAACAUACCAAGGUAUAUCAAAAGAUGUUGUUUAAGGAGUCCGGGGAUAAAACUUUAGUGGGAAGCUCUCCAACGACGUGUCACUGGAGAGCUUCCGAUCUGCUAUAAUGCAUAGAAUUUUUAAAUCAUAGAGAGAAUGUUUAUAAUAGAUGAAUACAGAUAAAAAUGACACAUGACGAAACAAGAUGUCGUUGGAAACCUCCCUACUAUAAAGUUAUUUUCUAAAGUCGAGUAGUUAGUGGUGAGCACUAUUGGGUUCAAUAUGAAUUACCGAAUGAAACUAACCGAAGUAGGUCGGUUUGGUUUAGUUUUACAUAUACUCGGUUCGAUUUGGUUCUAAGGGUUAAAAAUCAAAAUAGCUGUGAUAAACUGAAUAAAAAGAAAUUUUGGUAAUUCAAAUAACUGAAUGAAACUUAAAUUACAAAAAAUAAUAGAUUAGUUUUAAUAAUAAUUGUGAAACAACCGUUGUACUCUAAAAGCUUAAGCUUAGCUCUAUAAGCUUAAGCUUUUAGAGUACAACGGUUGUUUCACAUGGUAUCAGAGUAAAAGGUCCUGAGUUCGAGUCAUACCCUUAGUUAGUAAAUUCGCGAAUAAUACGCGAAUUAUUCGUGAAUUUUUGAAUAGCCGAAUUAAACGGCAGUAAACGUAUUUUUCCCAAAAGUGCGAAAAAAACGUGUUUUUUUCUCCAAAAAUAAUUAUCAGUGAAUUAUUCUUGAUUCGCGAAUAAUUCGCUCAAAUAAACGGCCCGCGAGUCGGAUACGCUCGUCGUCGUCCUUCUCCACCGCCGCCCUGGCGGCGCUGGGAGCAAGAGGGCCGCAGCUACAGUUCCGGCCUCGCCCGACGCCGUCCGCUUUCGCCCAAAAAAAGGGCUCGCGAGUCGGCGACACUCGUCAUCGUCGUCCUCCGCCGCCGCCCUGGCCGGCGCCGGGAGCAAGAGGGCCGUGACUACGGUUCCCAUCUCGCUCGACGCCGUCCACGACUCUGCGUACCGUCCGCAGGAAUAAAAAAUCAACAGGAAAAAGGCGCGGUGUUGCGCCCCGAACGGAGGCAAGGGCACGCACGGUCCACGAGGCCACGUCGGCAUCGUGGACCGGAUAAGAGGGAGGUCCAUGUUAGACCUCCCUCUCAUUAUAUAUAUAUAUAUAUAUAUAUAUAUAUAUAUAUAUAUAUAUAGCAGGGCUGCUGUGCUCUCAGGAGCACGGAGCCCUCCGUGCUUCUGAGUCGUUUUCGAUGAUGGAAUUUCCGAAUCGACGAUCGGCUCCGUUAGACUUGAUCUAGCAUAUUUGAAGUUUCUAGAAAAUAAUUUUUGCAAUUUUUCGAUAUCAUUUACCUAGCAAUCGAAAGGAUUCAAUAUCAAUAAUUUUUAACGGCUGAAAAUAAAAAUCAUAUAAAAAGUGGUGAUAUAGCAUUAAAAUUUUUGAUCAGAAAUAUUGACCUUGUUGUAGAUAGUAUAAAAAAUUUUGUAUCAAAAUUUCAUCUGAUUUGAAUACUUCUACACCGUUAAACUUGAAAACGGCAGAUAUCAACCAUUAAAAAUUAUUGAUUUUGAAUCUUUCGAUCACUAGGUAAAUGAUAUCAAAAAAUCGCAAAAAUUAUUUUCUAGAAACUUCAAAUACCCUAGAUCAAGUCUAACGGAGCCGAUCGUCGAUUCGAAAAUUCCAUCAUCGAAAACGGCUCAAGAGCACGGAGGCCUCCGUACUCCUGAGAGCAUAGCAGCCCUACUAUAUAUAUAUAUAUAUAUAGAGAGAGAGAGAGAGAGAGAGAGAGAGUUAUGGUGUUUUUAAAAGCACCAAGCACUUGAUGCUUCUAAGUGUUUCUGCCGUUAAAUUUACCUCAUUGAUCAUUUCUAUCCAUUAGAUCAUACUAUUCAACCAAUCACUCUCUCAACUCUAGGAGAUAACUAUCAUCCUAACUGCACAUCGCUUCAUCCAAGAGCCGAAAACCUAAUAGCACCAAUGACUUGAUGCUACUAAUAGUGUAGCAUAAUUCUCUCUCUCUCUCUCUGUAUAUAAGAAGUGCUUCUAUAUUUUUUAUUUUUUGAUAUCGUUCAUUCAAUGGCUCAGAUUUAUUUAUAUUUUUAAGUUAUGAUCUGCGAUAGUAAGUCACUUUGAAAGAGUCAUUUUGAAAGAUGUACCGGUUACUAGAUACCCGAAAAAAAAAAAAAUAUUUGGCUCUUUCGAUAUUGAGAAUAAUUAAGUAUUUUUGCCCUCAUUAUACUAUCUAACAUCCAUCUUCUCUCUCUGUUGCCCAAAAAACGUAUAGUUGUUUUGUGGACCGAGUAUGGAUUUUGUUUGUACCCACCUUAAAUCCGGCCCAAAUCCUAAUUAAUUUUAUAUUAUAUAUAAUAUAUAUAAAAUUUGAUGNUGAUAUUAUUAAUAUAUAUUUAUUACAAUUUUAAAUAUAUUUAAUUUAUAUAUAAAAAUUAUAAUAAAAAUAUAUAUAGUAUAUUAAUUAUUAUAUAUUUAUUAUAUAGCCGAAUUUUCGAUCCCGAAUUUUUAAUUGGUGAACGUAUAAUAUCCGUAUAAAUCACGUAUCCAAAUAAUUACCGAAUCCGUUUUUUAGGCGUAUUUUUCAACGAAUUUAAAAAUUAAAAGACAAAUUUUAUCCGAAUUAUAUCCGAACCGAAUUUUUGCCGAAUCCGAAUUAACUAACUAUGGUGAUACCAGGCUCCUAGCAAAUUUCCUCCCAUUUAAUUCAAGCCCACGUCAUAAACCGACUAAAAAGUCUCGAGCCUAGACGUGAGGGGGUGUUAAAUAUAAAAAUAUAUAAACACCAUGCUCUAACAGCUUAAGUUUUUAGAGUACAACGGUUGUUUCACAUAGUAUCAGUGCAGAAGGUCCUGAGUUCUAGUCACACCAGGUUCCUUGCAUAUUAAUUUCAUACCAUUUAAUUCAAGUCCACGUCAUAGGCCGACUAAAAAAGUCUCGAGCCCAGACGUGAGGGGGAGUGUUAAAUAUAAAAAUAUAUAAACACCGUACUCUAACAGUGUAAGCUUUUAGAGUACAACGAUUGUUUCACAUGAUAUCAGAGCAGAAGGUUCUGAGUUCGAGUCACACCAGGCUCCUAGCAUAUUAAUUUUCUCUCAUUUAAUUCAAGCUCAUGUCAUGGACCGACUAAAGAAGUCUUGAGCCCAGACAUGUUUAAAACACCGUUCUCUAACAACGGUUGUUUCACAAUAAUCAAAUAGUUGGGCAUAUUAAUUAUGAUUAUAUCUUAUUUUUAGUAGUUUUUUUAAAAAAAAACUUAAACUAAAUAAAAAUAUUUUACCAAAACCAUAUAAACUGAAUCGAAAUCGGUUCGGUUCGGUUCGAUUCAGUUCAUCCUUCUAAUUCGGUUUGAUUUGAUUUCAUUUGAUUUUUUUUUUUAUAAUACUAUAAAAAUCGAACCGAACGGACCAAUGCUUACACUUAUUGGUAGUUAUAUAUCUCAUGUUCUUGGUAUUUAAAAUCAUUUAUUAGGCUUUAUCCUUUUCAAUUUUUCAGGUUUUCGUGCAAUUGGUUGUGGAUUCUUAACAUCUCUUGGCGCUGCUAUCUUCGUAAAUCUUUUCCUGAGUUUUCCCACCCAACAAGUAAGAUUCAUGUUGCACAUAUAAUAUUAUUGAUAGUUUUCACGACUACCAAUUUUUGAUCCUGGAAUGUUUAGGGUUUAUGCUACGGUAGUGGUAUUCUUAUGGAUCCGAGGACUAGAAAAUUGAUAGUGUUGGUUUAAGGACUAGUGCUCUGCCUCAUGGCGGGAGGUAGGAUUGGGCCAAAUAACGUUCGAAAUAGUGGGAAGCUUGUUGGAUUUUAUUGAGUUUGUUAUGACUUAAAACUUAUUAAAACUAUUUGAUUGGAUUUCUUUAUUGUGUUUGUUGUGAUUUAUUCUUUGAGUUUUAUUCUUAUCUUUAUAUUUAUUCUAAUCCUAAUCCUUUUAGGUAUAAUCUUAGGCUUAUCUUGUUCUACUUAGAUUUAAUGAGAUAGAACAAGAUCCUCGCAUUGAUUAUAAAUAUGGGGCGAGGGUGCACGAGUUAAUUAUGAAUAAUAAUAACCCGGGCAUACCAAAAGCCUCUUGUCUUUUUCUACUUUCUCGCUAUUAAUUUUCGCCGAGUUUUCGUUGAUGGAUCUGAAGCUCGUUGAGUUCGUCUUGCGCCACCUUGAAAGCGUGCCCACGGGGUGGAACGUGGUCGUUGUAUCGCUAUGAGUAAUUGCCGGUAAGCCUCGCACGUGGAGGGGCAAUUUCGCUUCUAGGACAGUGCUCUGCACGCCUCGAUCCACAGGCCUUAUCUAAACCUUAUCUUUUCAAUAUUUUUGUUUAAUUUUGUUUUGGGAUUUUUCCAAACUUGAAUUUUAAUUUCCGAUUUGGUUUUUAAAGAAUAUUGUAAUAAAAGAUCAGAAAGAUUUUUCCAACAAAGCUAUGUUGAGUUAGGUCACAUUUGAAAUGGCCGAAGACUAGCUGGAUUGAGUCACGAUCGAAACCUUUGAAUGUUGUCUCUAUAUGUUCACUACAACAGAAUUAGAUUAUAGCGACACAUUUUUGGGACACUUUUAUAUAAGUGUUCUAUUUAUACCAAAUUUUUUUAAAAAAAUCUACUAACGCCUAAAUAUAAAUCUCAAUUCAAUCAAAAAUAAAAAGUUUCUCUACUUAACCAACCACACACUGUCCACUCGGCCCGAUUACAAAUAAAAAAGAAAAAAAAAGAAAAAAUUGAUCAACAUCUCCCCUUCUCCUCCUCCGCUGCUGUAACCGACGACGAGGUAGAAUUCCGGUGGCUGGAGUUCGGCCGGAGGGAUCUCGCAAGGACCAUAAAAGACUAUGAUCGCCACGUAUCCCUCCACAUAAGUCGCUGGAGGAGUGGGUGCUAAAUAUCAAGGCGACCCUACUUAUAGUGACCCUACUUAUAGCAACAUUUUUAAAAAUGUCGGUAAUUUAGCCAGUAACACUUUUUUUGACAUGUACCGAUAUUUAAAAGUAUCGCUAUACACCGUUUUUGUUGUAGUGGUUUUAAAUGAAUUAUUUGUGCCUUUCUGAUAGCUUGACAUUUUGGAAUUAAUAGGUUAUGUUAACAAUCCUACAUAUUGUAACAAGUGCUUUGCUCGUACCAAUAAUAUUUUGGCUCAACUUCAUAUAUAUACAGUACUAAUAAUUUGUUGAAUCUAAGCCAUGGGAUCAAAAUAUUUAAAUACAGUCGUUAAUAUUAGCGUAUGUGACUCACACUCUUCCACAUUAUUUUGGACUAUUGGGAUAUCACCGAUUCCCCUAUUUAGACCUUGACGUUCUCGUCACGCCUAAGUGCGUACGAUGUCCACUCUCACUCCUAAUUGAAUCCCAUCUCAUUACUUUCAACUGGUUAUCU
rnacentral:lncRNA from 1 species